UGUCUCCUGCAGUGUUCGAUGUCUGUCAGGAACCCUUGAGCCUAAUUGCAAUGCAAAGGGAGCCUCAACAGCGUAGGGAGUGCAGGCCCGCCCCGCAGCGGGAAGCCCGAAUACCUUGUCCGGCCCCCACUUGAGACCUCCGUCUCAAGGUCACGACGGAUGACGGCACAGGUGGGAGACAC
rnacentral:other from 1 species